AUACUUACCUGGCAGGGGUGAUUCCAUGAACACGAAGGUGGUUCCCCUAGGGUGAGGCUUGCCCAUGCACUCCAGGCAUGUUUACCCCUGCGAUUUCUCCAAAUGUGGGAAACUCAACUGCGUAAUUUAUGGUAGUGGGGGACUGUGUGCGUGCUCUCCCCUU